ensembl:snRNA U6 U6 spliceosomal RNA
GUGCUCACUCCGCAGCACAUAUACUAAAAUUGGAAUGAUACAGAGAAGAUUAGCAUGGCCCUUGCGCAAAUUUGUGAAGUGUCCCAUGUUUUU